rnacentral:rRNA from 1 species
AUAACAUUUGGAAACAGAUGCUAAUACCGCAUAAGAUUACAGUACCGCAUGAUACAGUGAUCAAAGGAGCAAUCCGCUGAAAGAUGGGCUCGCGUCCGAUUAGAUAGUUGGUGAGGUAACGGCUCACCAAGUCGACGAUCGGUAGCCGGACUGAGAGGUUGAACGGCCACAUUGGGACUGAGACACGGCCCAGACUCCUACGGGAGGCAGCAGUGGGGAAUAUUGCACAAUGGGCGAAAGCCUGAUGCAGCAACGCCGCGUGAGGGAAGACGGUUUUCGGAUUGUAAACCUCUGUUUUCGGUGACGAACAAAUGACGGUAACCGAGUAGGAAGCCACGGCUAACUACGUGCCAGCAGCCGCGGUAAUACGUAGGUGGCAAGCGUUAUCCGGAAUUACUGGGUGUAAAGGGAGCGCAGGCGGGAUAGCAAGUCAGCUGUGAAAACUAUGGGCUCAACCCAUAAACUGCAGUUGAAACUGUUAUUCUUGAGUGGAGUAGAGGCAAGCGGAAUUCCGAGUGUAGCGGUGAAAUGCGUAGAUAUUCGGAGGAACACCAGUGGCGAAGGCGGCUUGCUGGGCUCUAACUGACGCUGAGGCUCGAAAGUGUGGGGAGCAAACAGGAUUAGAUACCCUGGUAGUCCACACUGU